GCCCCGCGCGGAAAUGGCGCUGCCGCGGGGGCGUCGCCACCGUCGUAGCCCCCGGGUUUCGCACAGAGGCCGCCUGCUUUUGCCUCGCCCGAGGGCGGAGGAGGACGCCGGCCGCCUCACGGCCGAGGAGGUGCCCGCUCCUGCGCCCUACAAGCCGCUCCUUGCCUUAAUGCCUGGGAGGGCGGAAGGAGCCGGCGGGGCGGCGGCGGCGGCGUAAGGCGCCUCUGCUGCGCCCUCGGCGUGCCGCCGCCGGCCCCGGGUGCCCUCGGGCUGAGGAGAGGGGCGCGGAGCAGAGCGGGUCGGCGCCCUGCGUGGCGGUCCUCUGUCGGCUGCGGUAGCGCCUGCCCGGGAGUGGGGGCUUAUCCAGCAAGCUUAGAUAUGUGGCUUCCUCUGACUACUUCAGAAUGUGUAUGUGUGAUUUCUGCGCCCAUCUGCAUAGACAUAAAUAAUACAGCAGAAGCAAUCCCCAAUGAGAGAGUGCCUGCAGCUGUGAAUCUACAUGUGCAAUAGGGAAUGUCAGCUUGCGGAUCGAGAAUAAAAGGCUUGAACUGAAGACUUUGGGAAUUUCUGCCCUAAGAUCUAUCAACUAUUUUCUGAACCACGAAGCAGAGAGCUGUUUAUGUUUGUUACUACUUUUUAAUUCCUGUUGGCAGUGACAUG